AGAAGAAAUCAGCCUGUCCCUAUGUCCCAACAGUCAAAAUGACUGUGAUGUGUAGAUUUAAGUCAUAUCACAGCCAUUUUUGACGAGUUGGGCUGUAGGAUAUUACAUCAAUGAAACCA
rnacentral:precursor_RNA from 12 species